CGGGGCGGGGGUGCCUAUACAUGCAAGUCGAACGGAGAUAUUCGCUGAUGAAGUACUUCGGUAAUGAAUCUUGGAUAUCUUAGUGGCGGACGGGUGAGUAACGCGUGAGCAACCUGCCUUUCAGAGGGGGAUAACGUUUGGAAACGAACGCUAAUACCGCAUGACAUUAUCUUAUCGCAUGGUAGGAUAAUCAAAGGAGCAAUCCGCUGAAAGAUGGGCUCGCGUCCGAUUAGGUAGUUGGUGGGGUAACGGCCCACCAAGCCGACGAUCGGUAGCCGGACUGAGAGGUUGGACGGCCACAUUGGGACUGAGACACGGCCCAGACUCCUACGGGAGGCAGCAGUAAGGGAUAUUGGUCAAUGGGGGAAACCCUGAACCAGCAACGCCGCGUGAGGGAAGACGGUUUUCGGAUUGUAAACCUCUGUCCUCUGUGAAGAUGAUGACGGUAGCAGAGGAGGAAGCUCCGGCUAACUACGUGCCAGCAGCCGCGGUAAUACGUAGGGAGCGAGCGUUGUCCGGAUUUACUGGGUGUAAAGGGUGCGUAGGCGGCUUGGUAAGUCAGUAGUGAAAUCCAUGGGCUUAACCCAUGAACUGCUAUUGAAACUGUCGAGCUUGAGUGAAGUAGAGGUAGGCGGAAUUCCCGGUGUAGCGGUGAAAUGCGUAGAGAUCGGGAGGAACACCAGUGGCGAAGGCGGCCUACUGGGCUUUAACUGACGCUGAGGCACGAAAGCGUGGGUAGCAAACAGGAUUAGAUACCCUGGUAGUCCACGCUGUAAACGAUGAUUACUAGGUGUGGGUGGACUGACCCCAUCCGUGCCGGAGUUAACACAAUAAGUAAUCCACCUGNGGA
rnacentral:rRNA from 1 species